rfam:Schistosoma mansoni strain Puerto Rico chromosome 2, complete genome
AUCCAGCUGACGAGUCCUAAAUAGGACGAAGUGUCGCGUGUCCUGGAU